rnacentral:misc_RNA from 1 species
AAAUGCGAUAAGUAGUGUGAAUUGCAGAAUUCAGUGAAUCAUCGAAUCUUUGAACGCACAUUGCGCCCUAUGGUAUUCCGUAGGGCAUGCCUGUUCGAGUGUCAUUUACACCUUCAAGCCUUGCUUGGUGUUGGGUGACUGUGGCCCCUUUGGGGCCACUCGCCUUAAAGUCAUUGGCGGCCGGUUCGUUGGCUUUGUAGCGCAGCACAAUUGCGUCCUCGAAGCCGCUGGACCAGCUCCCAGAAGCUAAUUUUAAAUGUUUGACCUCGAAUCAGGUAGGGAUACCCGCUGAACUUAAGC